AUUGAACGCUGGCGGCGUGCCUAAUACAUGCAAGUCGAACGAGGAAAGCUUUCGGGUGAGUACUAGUGGCGCACGGGUGAGGAAUACAUGGGUAAUCUGCCCUCGAGUUGGGGAUAACCAGUCGAAAGAUUGGCUAAUACCGAAUAAGACCACAGGAUCUGCGGAUCUAGGGGUUAAAGGUUUUUCGCUUGAGGAUGAGCCCAUGCGGGAUUAGCUAGUUGGUGAGGUAAUGGCUCACCAAGGCUACGAUCCCUAACUGGUCUUAGAGGAUGAUCAGUCACACUGGAACUGAGACACGGUCCAGACUCCUACGGGAGGCAGCAGUAGGGAAUAUUGCACAAUGGGGGAAACCCUGAUGCAGCGACGCCGCGUGAGUGAUGAAGGCCUUCGGGUCGUAAAGCUCUGUCGUAUGGGACUAACACAAUGGAGGUACCAUGCAAGAAAGGAUCGGCUAACUUCGUGCCAGCAGCCGCCGUAA
rnacentral:rRNA from 1 species